GGCGCCGUGGCUUAGUUGUUUAAAGCGCCUGUCUCCUAAACAGGAGGUCCUGGGUUCGAAUCCCAGCAGGGCCU